CAAUAGCGUAUAUUAAAGUUGUUGCUGUCGAAAAGCUCGUAGUUGGAUUUCUGCCGAGGACGACCGGUCCGCCCUCUGGGUGAGCAUCUGGCUCGACCUGGGCAUCUUCUUGGAGAACGUGGCAGCGCUUGAUUGUGUGGCGCGGCAUCCAGGACUUUUACUUUGAAGAAAUUUGAAUGUUUCAAGCAGGCAUGCGCCUUGGAAACGUUAGCAUGGAAUAGUAAGAUAGGGUCACUUCUCUAUUUUGUUGGUUUCUAGAAUCGUAACAAUGACUAAUAAGGAUAGUCGGGGGUAUUUGUAUUCAACUGUCAGAGGUGAAAUUCUUGGAGUUGUUGAAGACAGACUACUGCGAAAGCAUUUGCCCGGGAUGUUUUCAUUGAUCAAGAACGAAAAUUAGGGAUCGGAA
rnacentral:rRNA from 1 species